rnacentral:rRNA from 1 species
GUGGGGAAUCUUGCACAAUGGGCGAAAGCCUGACGCAGCCAUGCCGCGUGGAUGAUGAAGGUCUUAGGAUUGUAAAAUCCUUUCACCGGUGAAGAUAAUGACUGUAGCCGGAGAAGAAGCCCCGGCUAACUUCGUGCCAGCAGCCGCGGUAAUACGAAGGGGGCUAGCGUUGCUCGGAUUUACUGGGCGUAAAGGGCGCGUAGGCGGACAUUUAAGUCAGGGGUGAAAUCCCGGGGCUCAACCUCGGAACUGCCUUUGAUACUGGGUGUCUUGAGUAUGAGAGAGGUGUGUGGAACUCCGAGUGUAGAGGUGAAAUUCGUAGAUAUUCGGAAGAACACCAGUGGCGAAGGCGACACACUGGCUCAUUACUGACGCUGAGGCGCGAAAGCGUGGGGAGCAAACAGGAUUAGAAACCCUGGUAGUCC